rnacentral:rRNA from 1 species
AGCUCCAAUAGCGUAUAUUAAUGUUGUUGCAGUUAAAAAGCUCGUAGUUGGAUUUCUGACAGGAGCGGCCGGUCCGAGCCUCUCGGGUUCGUGUACUUUGUGUUGUCUCUAGUCAUCCUUGCAAAGAAUGUGUAUGGCAUUAACUUGUCGUGCAUGGGACUUGCAUCGUUUACUGUGAAAAAAUUAGAGUGUUCAAAGCAGGCAAUCGCUGUGAAUACAUUAGCAUGGAAUAAUAAGAUAGGACUUUGGUACUAUUUUGUUGGUUUGCAUACCAAGGUAAUGAUUAAGAGGGACAGUUGGGGGUAUUCGUAUUUAUAUGUCAGAGGUGAAAUUCUUGGAUUUUAGAAAGACGAACUACUGCGAAAGCAUUUACCAAGGAUGUUUUCAUUAAUCAAGAACG